ensembl:misc_RNA Metazoa_SRP Metazoan signal recognition particle RNA
GUCGGGCAUGGUGGCACAUGCCUGUAGUCCCAGCUACUCGGGAGGCUGAAGUGGGUGGAUCACUUGAGCCCAGGAGUUCUGGGCUGCAGUGCGCUAUGCUGAUUGGGUGUCCACACUAAGUUCAGCAUCAACAUGGUGACCUGGGAGCAAGGGACCACCAGGUUGCCUAAGGAGGGGUGAAUCAGCUCAGGUCGGAAACAGAGCAGGUCAAAACUACCAUGCUGAUCAGUAGUGGGAUCGCACCUGUGAAUAGCCACUGCACUCCAGCCUGGGCAACGUAGUGAGACCCUGUCUCUU